UCCAGACUCCUACGGGAGGCAGCAGUGGGGGAUAUUGCACAAUGGGGGGAACCCUGAUGCAGCGACGCCGCGUGGGUGAAGGAGCGUUUCGGCGCGUAAAGCCCUAUCGGCAGGGAAGAAGGAGGACGGUACCUGACUAAGAAGCCCCGGCUAACUACGUGCCAGCAGCCGCGGUAAUACGUAGGGGGCAAGCGUUAUCCGGAUUUACUGGGUGUAAAGGGGGCGCAGACGGCAGCGCAAGCCAGGAGUGAAAGCCCGGGGCCCAACCCCGGGACUGCUCUUGGAACUGCGCGGCUGGAGUGCAGAAGGGGCAGGCGGAAUUCCUGGUGUAGCGGUGAAAUGCGUAGAUAUCAGGAGGAACACCGGUGGCGAAGGCGGCCUGCUGGACUGCGACUGACGUUGAGGCCCGAAAGCGUGGGGAGCAAACAGGAUUAGAUACCCGCGUAAAC
rnacentral:rRNA from 1 species